AGUUUCAGGUCUACAGCAAAGUGAAUCACUUAUACAUACACAUCUUUCCAUUCUUUUUCAGAUUUUUUCCCCAUAUAGGUUCUUAUAGAACAUUGGAUAGAUUUCCUAAUAAUUCUUAAUGUAUAACUGUGGCUGAGAACAAUUCCCUCCUUUUUUUUUGUCUUGGUAGAAGUAGAAUUCCUUGCAGGUACCCUUGACGGGAAAUUGAUUCACGGAUAAGUGUAGAUGGGAGAGACUGAAAGUAUAAAUUCACUAAAUUUUUUAUUCAAAGAAUAGGUGUUCCCAUAGUGGCUCAGCAGAAACGAAUCUUACUAGUAUCCACGAGGAUGCAGGUUCACCCCCUGGCCUCUCUCAGUGGGUAAGGAUCUGGCAUUGCCAUGAGAUGUGGUGUAGGUUGCAGAUGCAGCUGGGAUCCCAUGUUGCUGUGGCUUUGGUGUAGGCAGCUACAGCUCUGAUUUGACCCCUAGCCUGGGAACCUCCGUAUGCUGAGGGUGCAGCUCUAAAAAGACAAAAGACAAAAAAAAAAAAAAAAGAAAGAAAAAAAAAAAAAGAAUACAGUAAAUGCUGCCCCUUGCAAAUUUUAAGCUUUAUAUAGGUAGGAAUAUUUGCUUUAUUCAUUGGUUUUAAGAGGUACAUGAGAUAGUACAUGGCAAUAAAUAGUCAAUAAAUAGUAUGUAAAUGAAAGAAUAAAUUUAACAUUUUUCAUGAAUCUCUAUAUGCCCUCACAUUCCAUUCUUAUUUAACCUCUGAACACCCCUGGAGGUCAGGCAACAUUCAUCCUCUAUAAACUUACAGUCUUGGAAAUUAGACUUGAGAGGCUAUGGAACUUGUUUAAGAUCGAACAUCCAGGAAAUCAUCAGAGCCAGUGUUCAACUCUAUGUCUUCCAAGGACAACUACUAUAAUAAGUGAAAAAGAAUGAGGGACAGACCUGCCUGGGGCGUGAACUGUCUGACUUGAGCUCACCUGAGGUGUCAUAUAGAUCCUCCUGAAGAGGGAGAGUGAGAAGGAGAGCAUCUGUGAAAGCCAACUUGAGGAAUGAGGAUGUGCAUUGACUUCACCUGUUUUCAGUUUUGUCCCAUAGGGGGAUCCAUAGGGAGCAGAACAUUUUUUUGUUUGUUUUCCUGCCUGUCUGUACCACAUCCAUUGGUGGCCAAAAUUAAAAAUCCAUAUUGAAUCUGUGCUUCAACUCCACCCAUCAGAGUGGUGAAGUCCCAGCCCAAAGUCUUGAAAAUAGUUUUGAUUUAAAAGGGGAAGACAGUUUCCUGGAUUAAGUGUGCCUGAGGAAAGCAUGGUGUCAUAUAUAUUAUUUGAAAGGUAUGAGGGCAGCAAUGCAUAUGUUGCUUGAACGACUGAAGUAAAAGGAAACAAAAAUCAAUAUAAACCCCCCUGGUUUCAGCUAUAGUGCUUCCACUUAAGUGACAUCUACACCAGAAAGGAAUUAACACAGCAAGAGACACGUUCUGCUUAUUGAUGUGAAAACAAAUGUCAAAACAAAUGACUUAAGAUCAACUGGACGUACAGAACAAAGCAUUACUCUUUUCUGAGGAACUUUGAAGACUAUAUCAGUGGGUUAACAAAACAGUCCAUUGUAGCUAAUACCUUACUUCCCCAGUCAGAGAUUCGCAGUCUCUCUCUCUCUUUGGGCAGAUUUGAAAACUACUGAGCAAAAAGAUAAAUUUAUUUGCCCAAAUGUGAUUUUGCCCAAAUCACAUGACUAAUGAUUUUCAGAGUAUGGAUUAAACUGGGAAGGUCUGGGCAUCCCUGCUUUGGCCACAGUGGGUUAAGAAUCCAACUGCACAUGUCUAAAUUCUGUUUAUCUAAAUGGACAUGGAAUUCUAUUUUUAAGAGUGUUUAGAACAAAUGUUUGAUUGCCUUUGUCAGUUGUUUUCCUGAGUGAGGUAGUGUUUUUUGGUGAAAUGGCUAAUAAUCCCCUAUAGUCCUUUGAUACAGUAGCAAAUACAUUUGAAUAAAAGAUUAGUUUCCUGUAAGUUAGAACUUUUUAUUUCUUUGAAAAUAAUCAUAUUCUUUAUAUUAAAUUAUUUAGUUACUUUGUUAUUUACUAAGCAUCUACUGCAUUCUAUGCACUGUUAAAUGUUGGGCAUACUAUUUGCCAUUUAGUCCAUGGAUUUAAGGAGCAUAUGAUCUUGAUUUUAAAUUUAGAGUUUAAAUACAGAUUUAAGUGAGAAAUCCAGGCAAAAUACAGUAUUCUUCUCAGUGGAACAUAAUGUUAGAGUAUCAGAAGCUACUGGCUUGGUACAGGGUAUAGCAGAUAAGACCGUGAUCCUAGGGCUGAGAUAAAUUUAAGUUCAAAACCUUAUGCUAAGUGGAUGAACUUGAGGAAACUGCUUAAUUCUCUGAGAAAUUAGAUGUGAAAUAUUUAGCACAGUGACUGGCCUAUAAUGAGGGUGUAACAACAAUGUCUGUUGCAUUUAUUUAUUAAUAAUAAGGGGGUGUAGCUUUCUUCCCUCUUUACUACCAAGCCCCAGUGCAAGCAAUACACUUACAUCUACUUCAUAUACUUCAGUGCAUUCUGAAUGGCAUAGUAUGAAUAAAGAGGAAAGAAAAUAGUGGGAAUGACAGAGCAGGAGAGAAUGCCAAAAUCAGGCAUGGCUUCUGGCCUAUCAUGGAUAAAAUUGGGUAGGAGAGGUCAAAAAUGAUAGUGUUUAGUUUUGUGUAAAGUUAACUAAGAAAGGGUAGGGGAGUUCCCACUGUGGUGCAGUGGGUUAAGGAUCCCGUGUUGUUUCCGCAGAGGCCUGUGUGUUCAGCACCCAGCCCAGCACAGUGAUCCCCUGCCCCAGGAACAUCCAUUUGCUGUGGGUAUGGCCCCUUCUCCCGGGCC
rnacentral:lncRNA from 1 species